UAGUAAAGCUUAGUAAACUUAGUUCCCAG
rnacentral:piRNA from 1 species